AACGAACGCUGGCGGCAUGCCUAACACAUGCAAGUCGAACGAGACCUUCGGGUCUAGUGGCGCACGGGUGCGUAACGCGUGGGAACCUGCCCUUAGGUUCGGAAUAACUCCCCGAAAGGGGUGCUAAUACCGGAUAAUGUCUUCGGACCAAAGAUUUAUCGCCUUUGGAUGGGCCCGCGUUGGAUUAGCUAGUUGGUAGGGUAAAAGCCUACCAAGGCGACGAUCCAUAGCUGGUCUGAGAGGAUGAUCAGCCACACUGGGACUGAGACACGGCCCAGACUCCGACGGGAGGGAGCAGUGGGGAAUAUUGGACAAGGGGCGAAAGCCUGAUCAAGCAAUGCCGCGUGAGUGAUGAAGGCCUUAGGGUUGUAAAGCUCUUUUACCCGGGAUGAUAAUGACAGUACCGGGAGAAGAAGCUCCGGCUAACUCCGUG
rnacentral:rRNA from 1 species